GUGUGUGGGGAGGGUGGCCGGAAGAGAUUCCCCCUAACCUGCCCAUGACCCGAAUAUGUUGUGAGAGUGUCGGCCCGAACCUCGAAAUAUAUUUCUGCCCCAGUUUCUCUUACGAUCAGACUGUUACGGCGGCAGACAUGUCCGAGCGGCACAUACACAGGAUUUAAUGAGCACGUUGCAGCGAGUUCCUUUGCCACAGCUCCCUUCAUGUUGUCUGACAGACAAAUGAGGUGCACGACAGGGCUGCCCUGUCACCUACUAGCACUCACAUCAUUUGCUAGAGCUCCGGAUUUGACACAUUGGAUUAUGAAAACAUGAAGAGUGCAGCAAGGCAAAGCAUAUUGUGUAAACAGCCACCAUGGGAUUUUUUAUUUUUACUGACAUGCUGCUUCCAGUGACAGAUGCAGGGCUUAGUCCCAUUACCAGAUUACCAAGAUGAUAGAAGGUUUGAAUUAUUCGGCACCUCUAUACCAGUAGCUUUGCCAGGAAUACCGAAUGUAUAUCUCUUAAUAGUGCAGCUCAUGAACAUGAGACUAUAAAUAUAUGUUGCUUUGUUAACUGUAACUUUCUAUGCAGUGUAAACAGUACUGUUAAUGAAAUAAAUCAUUUAUAAUAUAA